rnacentral:rRNA from 1 species
UACGGAGGAUCCAAGCGUUAUCCGGAAUCAUUGGGUUUAAAGGGUCCGUAGGCGGUUUUGUAAGUCAGUGGUGAAAGCCCAUCGCUCAACGGUGGAACGGCCAUUGAUACUGCAAGGCUUGAAUUAUUGGGAAGUAACUAGAAUAUGUAGUGUAGCGGUGAAAUGCUUAGAGAUUACAUGGAAUACCAAUUGCGAAGGCAGGUUACUACCAAUAUAUUGACGCUGAUGGACGAAAGCGUGGGGAGCGAACAGG